CGCUGAGGGCCUCGCUUACUGCUGCGACACGGGGAGAAACAGAGGAAUCGGAGGGACUACUUUUUCUUCCUUAUUACUUUCCCCAGCCGCCUGCUUUUCCCUCCCCCCACCUUUUUUUUUUUGCAUUUUGCCACAUCAUGCGACUAGGGGCGACUAACGUCAUUUCCGUGGGCGCUUUAGGUCCCACCCACGUACUUCCGGGUGCACGUGACGCUGUCGGGAAAGGUCGGCUGACUGCUGCCAGAAUGCAGAGCCAGUUCUAGGGAAGUGCGGCGUCUCCUGGGAAUGAGGUGGCUGUUGGGCCGCCUUGAGGAAUCGCGGUUCCGCUCCCUUCCCCUAUGGGCCCUGCCUAUUUAAACAGAGUCCCUUACGAAGAGGACGUGGCGUGGGCAGCUGGGCCCAGCCUCCGGCCCUCUCCGUGACUCAGGGAAACGGCCUCCCUGCAGGGCGCUCUUGGCAGCCGGCUGCCGCGCUCCUCCCCCGCCUAGUUUCUUGUGGUGGGUGGUGUGUUACAUCCCAGGGAGGGGGCAUUGAAAGGGGGUUUAAAAUCCUGCCUGCCCUUAAUGCUCGCCCUUUUGACGGUUGGACAAGCUGACGCUUGGAUCCUGACAGAACUAGUGGUCUCUUCGGAUGUUAAACAAUUGACUCAAAGGGCAGUGAAGGCCACUUACCAGUGGGACCACUUCAACAUUGUCAAUUAGAAGUGUUUGGGAAUGCAAGCGCUUCACAGCUGGAGCAUCGUGUCUUCUAACAACAUUAAGUUUACCUCACAAACUGAGGAUGAGAGAAGAAUCUUUGGCAGUAAAGAGAGCGGACGGAGACUGUUCUGCAAAGAAAAGCCUUGCCACCAUGUCAUCAGAGUGAAUAUUUAUGCGUGGCAAAAUUCCAUUGUUUUGUUAAGCCAAAUAGUUGAAGAUGUUCUGUAUUCUGCAGCAUUUGAAAUGACCUUCUAAUACCAAUUUUAGUAGCUGCUUUGAAUUUUUUUUGGAAGUAUACAAAUUCUAAAUUAAAAAUCUAAAGGAGUUACUUUUUGAUUACAGUUAAAGGAGUAGCUUAAUCAAGUUAACAUUUCCAAUCUCAGAAUCUGGGAUACAAGAGCUGUACUACGAACUGGCCACCAAAAAUUUUCUUUAUUAAUAACUCUUGCAUUUUCAGACAGACCUGUAAUUUUAAAGACGUUUAGAAUCCGCAAAGCAAUUGAUUUUAGCUUGGAUAUUUGGUGUGGAAUAUCUAACUAGAAGUCCACUGAGGUUCUGUUAAAGUGACUGCUGUGUCAUCACGCACAGAAAUAUAAUGCAUGCAUUGUUUUCAGAACCACUUAGAAGAAAAAUAGAUUACAGUAUACCAGCUCAUUUUGAACACGGUAUCCUUCAAUAAAUCCAAAAUUUUCAAGAGAAAAAAAUGUACCAGAUGAUAAAGAUUAAAAAAAACAAAAAAACAAACCCCAAAACCGAAACCGAUGCCUUUUAAAGAUUAAUGAUUUUGGCUGAGGUAAUGAGAGCUUUUUAUGGUAGUACACUGUUCUUGCUACUGGUGUAGAGGCAGGACGAAAGGUUGUCAAUACUUGGUUUAGAAGCCCCAAAGGCUGAGUCACUGUUAAGUUACCUGAAAAGUAAUUGAAUGGCUUUGUUUUCAGGCACUACCUUAAGUUAGAGAAGAUAGAAAAAAAACAAAAAAACUCCAGCAUUUGUUUUCUGGUUUAUUAGGUUAUCUAAGUAUGACAAAGUCUUUUAAUAAGACUAUAAAUGUAUUAUCAUCGCAGCUUUUAGUUUCAGGAAAUGUUUUAGUAAGGUAGGCAUGUUAAUAAAAUAAAUCAUCAAAUUCUUUGAAGUAUUUUUAGCAGAAUAUUCAAUAGUAGGUCCUCGCUCUGAGUCACAGCAAGUGCUGUUAGCAAAAACUGCAUUGCUCGUCUGCUAUUUUGAGGAGUGCCAGUUUCUCAAAACCUAUGCAAGAAAACUUUAUUGUGUUCCUAAUUUUAUAUUUUAUGCCAGGACCUGUUUUAUACACACAUACACACACACACACACCCUCCCCCACACUCACCCCUCCAAUGUGAAUGACACAUCAGAAAAACUUUUCAUUGUAGGAUUCCUCUGUAGUUUUUCAUCUUCAAGCAACGCUGGAUUUAAGGCCCCUGCCUUUUAACUUGACCUUUUAAAAACAGCAUGAACUAGCUGCAUUGCAAAGCCACAAAGUAAUGGCAUUUCUCAAACGUUAAGAGAUUAAUUUUAAAGCAGAAGUUUAAACCUAACCCACUGUACCAAAUAUUUAAAAUUCAGAUUUUAAUGAAACCAAGAGGGAUAUGCUUUAGCAUUACCUAAGUAAGUGGUUUUGCCAUUUAAACAGCAACUUUGAGAAACAUCUCAGCCCCCUAGGGCCACUGAUGUGAAUCACAGCAGGAUUAGAUAAAGAGCAUGUCAAAGGCCAAUAAGUGGCUCAGGUAUCAGUCAACAUACACUGCCUACUUUAUUUUGAUCCCAUACAAGGCACUGAUUAUAGGCAAAGCACACCCAAAUAGAACAUUUUACAAAGCAAGAAAAAAAAUUUCAUGGUCUUAUUUUAGUAUGAAAUGGACCUUAACUUAAACUUAUCACUCACUGCUCAAGCUUGUCCUAAACCUAAUUUAUUUAGACAAGUUUUAUAAUGUAUCACGGAUGGCAAUAAGAUCUGUAGUGAAUUUAUUCUGCGUCAGGAUCAAGCAUGUUCCAAGUGAAUAAUCAAGACUAGCCCUGUGGGAAUACAAUCUGGAAUCUAGCAUAUUAUAUGGGCCCCUCCCAUGUUUUCUAAAGGUUAAAUCCAAUCCCAGCAGAGGAAUGAAGUAGCUCAUAACAUUACCUUAAAAAGUCAUCUCAGAAAAGUUGGUUCAAAUACAGUGAUACACAGAGCUUUGGAAACAGAAAAACCCAGAAGAGUUAUAACACUACUGAUCAACAGAUGUCACAACAUCCCUUCCAAAUGGAAAAACAAAAGGUAUAAUAAGCUUGAGAUGAUUUACAGAAUGAAGGGGCCUGAGUGUGGGAAUGAUUGUUACGGGCUUUUUCUCCCCUCCUUUCUAAAUAUGUAAGAACUGUCCCUUUUUACCUCCUGGAGUUAUUACUGUCUCCAAAGCAGGGUAUGACCCACAAACGUGUUCUCUCAGCAAUCUUAAAAUUCUGUCACACUCCAGGGUUGGUUCUACAAGUAGCAAUGCACCUAUGCAGCCUUGUGAUCAUAAUAAACUCAUUCUCAGAAGAGAAUAUUAAGGACUGAGAUUUGGUAAACAUUUUGGUUAACUCAAUAAUAGCAAAGUCAAGGAAAAAUAAUUUGCUUGGUCAACAAACACUUCAGUACAUACAAUGAAAAAUAUUUAAUGUUAAAAUCUUUUGAAAGGCUUUAAAAAUAUUUUUAUAUGGGGAAAUCAAUUCUGAAUCUUAUAGGCUCAGGUUCAUCACUGUGAAGUUUUUGUAUAGUAUUCUUGCUAAUGUAACAUGAUCUGAAUAUGUACCAAAUGUAGGACACACUAGAAAUUACUGUCUUUUAAAUGCCUUAUGCCUCAAUGUGUCAUGGCUGAUAAAAGUGCAUUAUGUAAAACAAACCCAAAACCUGUUUACUUUUCCUUGUUGCUCAUAUUCCAAAUAACUAUGAG